rnacentral:rRNA from 1 species
GACGAACGCUGGCGGCGUGCUUAACACAUGCAAGUCGAACGGAAAGGCCCUGCUUUUGUGGGGUGCUCGAGUGGCGAACGGGUGAGUAACACGUGAGUAACCUGCCCUUGACUUUGGGAUAACUUCAGGAAACUGGGGCUAAUACCGGAUAGGAGCUCCUGCUGCAUGGUGGGGGUUGGAAAGUUUCGGCGGUUGGGGAUGGACUCGCGGCUUAUCAGCUUGUUGGUGGGGUAGUGGCUUACCAAGGCUUUGACGGGUAGCCGGCCUGGGAGGGUGACCGGGCACAAUGCGACUGAGAGACGGACCAGACUCCUACGGGAGGCAGCAGUGGGGAAUAUUGCACAAUGGGCGGAAGCCUGAUGCAGCAACGCCGCGUGCGGGAAGACGUCCUUCGGGUGGUAAACCGCUUUCGGCUGUGACGAAGCGUGAGUGACGGUAAUGGGUAAAGAAGCACCGGCUAACUACGUG